UACGUAGGGUGCGAGCGUUAAUCGGAAUUACUGGGCGUAAAGCGUGCGCAGGCGGUGAUGUAAGACAGUUGUGAAAUCCCCGGGCUCAACCUGGGAACUGCAUCUGUGACUGCAUCGCUGGAGUGCGGCAGAGGGGGAUGGAAUUCCGCGUGUAGCAGUGAAAUGCGUAGAGAUCGGCAGGAACACCCAGGGGGAAACCAGUCGACUGGGCAUCUACUGACGCUGAGGUGCGAGAGCGUGGGGAGCGAACCGG
rnacentral:rRNA from 1 species